UAACGCGUGAGCAAUCUGCCUUUAAGAGGGGGAUAACAGUCGGAAACGGCUGCUAAUACCGCAUAAAGCAUUAAAUUCGCAUGUUUUUGAUGCCAAAGGAGCAAUCCGCUUUUAGAUGAGCUCGCGUCUGAUUAGCUAGUUGGCGGGGUAACGGCCCACCAAGGCGACGAUCAGUAGCCGGACUGAGAGGUUGAACGGCCACAUUGGGACUGAGACACGGCCCAG
rnacentral:rRNA from 1 species